rnacentral:lncRNA from 1 species
GAUAAGUCACCACACAUGCGCGCGAGCCAAAUCCCUAGUUUCCCCUCCUCAUUCCCCAUGCCAGCCACCAUGGGCUCCGGCCGCCGGCCUCUUCGUCGCGCCCCCGUCCCCCGCACCAUCCUGCCGCUCCCUCCACCUGUAGCGCCCGCUCCUCCCCUUCCUAUCCUCCUUCGCUACCUCCGGUUCCAGACCAAGUGAUGUGGACGAGGAGAUGAUAGCUCAGGAGGCAGGCAAGAUGAACCAGGCGGGUCUCCACUCAUGAAAUCCCUAGCUCAUUUCGUUCCCCACGCCCGCCGCCGGCGACCUCGCUCCUCCCUCCCAUGGCGCCACCGCCCCAACCCAUAGCCGUCUCCCUCUCCUUUCCUUCCCUCUCCACUCCUUUCAAUGGUGGCAGAUCUGAAGGGGCAAGGUCCUUGGUGCAGAGCGAGGUUGGCAGCAUUUGCUCCCUCCACUUCCAGUGACAGGUUCCUCCAUCUCUGCCAACCAACCUUUGGUGACCAGCAGGUAGGCAUCCAUGGCGGUAACAACAGAGGUAAGAUCUCUUUCCCUCUCGUGUGGUUCCUCCCUCCACUCCCCCUACUGGUCGCAGCAUGCAUAUUGAAACCCUAGCGUGCAGAUUUAUAGUUGUCUAAAAAGUAUUUUCAUGAAUUCGUUACACAUGGGUAAAGGACUGUUAGGUAAGAACAAUUGCAAAUAUGUGUUUUCAGCAAGAGAGAGAAUGAUAGAGUUAACAUUCAGAUUUAAGCAAUAGAUUGAUGUAACAUUUUUUCUGGAGUUUAAUAACAAGAUAAGAUAAAGGUUCUUUUAAUUUACUGAAAUUAACUUUUACUUGAGUGAUGUCCUAAGGUCAACCUAUAUAAAUGCACAUGUCUGAACUGAAAAUACAGCCACACACCAACUUCACACAGUACAAAAUUGAUAUGAUGCUUGCGUUGUGACUGAGUGUCUUAUGGCGCAAUGUCUCUGAAUAAAGUGCAUGGGUUGGAAAUUAACUGAAAGUACUGAACAAAAUUAUUGACAUCAGAGAGCAGGAAAAUAUGAGUUUAAUUUCUCAGUUACAACAGUAUUGUACUGUAUCUGUAACGAUAUAUUCUUACCAUGAUAAUAAAUAUUUGGUUCACAGCUAUUGAUUAUCACAAGUAGAAACCAGCAAACGCAUUACAUAUGUUCAGUAAAGCCUUUCAAUAUUUUUUCCGUCGGUGUCACAAAAUGAACACUCCAAGUGGUAUGUUUGAGCAUCCAUUCGUGAUUGCUCAUACGUGAUGUGGUGAUUACUUGGUAUGCAUGUCUUGCUUGCAUAUGUUAACUGAAGAUCCAUUUGUAAAGUACAAGACUGAGAAGUGAGAACUACCUUCAGGUUGCACAAAAGUUCCAAAUAAUCAUACUAAUGAUUUAGCCUUUCAGUUGAGCAUUGUAGAACUGUCACAAAUAUAAGAGUCUAUAUUUAAUCUUCAUGUUAUGAGAACAAGAACUUCAGCUUAUUUAACCCUGCUAUGGAAUAAUUAGCUCGAGAAUCACAAUGAGCCUUUUGUUUUCUUUGAAUGUUCACGACACUUCUACACAAGAAUUCCUACUUCUCGCUACUCAUGCGCUUCCGGCGGGUGGCGCAGUGAUUCCCUGCCCUUUUGCCACAACCUACCCACCAAUUGGUUGGUCUAGUGAGAUAUCUACAUAUUGGGUAUCUUACUAAAGUUAGUUGUAUACCAAGUUAAUUUAUGUUUCUUGCCAGAUGGUGCUAUGUCUUGAAUUAAUUCUUUUUUCUGUAGGCAGGUAAUGCUAGAUCCAAAGUUAAUCAUGGCAAGUCAAAGGUAUCUCAUACAUCAGACAACUAGAGUCAUCUAACAACGUCUUCUCUCAGCAUGGCGCUGUUCUCGAAUGUUGUCCUAACAUACCUAUUCUAACUACUUGAUGUUGGACUUGUGAUUUUGUUAGGCUUGUCCUCUCACUGAUUAAUGUGCUAGAUGGCAUCCCUUGUGAGGAGAACCAAAGGAUACGGUUUCAUCAAGUGCAAAGACCAAAUCGUUUAUUUGGUUGGUCUUGGCCUGUUGUGCUAUUAUUGUUAUACUGAUGUCCACAUUCCAAAUUAGCAAUUAGUUGCUCGAGGGUGGAAUGCUUACUUUAUGAAUUAUUAUGCAUGGCUAGUUAAUACACUUCUAUAACUAUGUAAUUUCCAUUUGCAGCUUCUAGGUUCUAGCUUUGUAGUGUGCAUCAUCUAGCUAAAAUGUUGAAAUGAUGUGAAAGUAUCUUAGAUAUUGUUGGUGUGCUGUUGUGAGCUGAAUUCUAGGUGUACAUUGAUGCAAAUGAACAUGGGAAUAGCUUCAGAAUUAUUCUUCACAUUUUUUACUAAAAGAUUGAACCACUUUCAUAUCUUGAAAUGAGAAUUUACUCAAGUUUCUAUUUGUGCUAGCGAUAAUUUUACUAUCAUGUUCAUAUAAGUAAAAUGCCAAAUACAAAUGGCCUUCAUUAGCAUAACUAUAUUACCAACACAAUAUGUAGUUGAAAAUCCCAAUACAAAUGAUAUCUUUAGUUCCUAGGACAGAUUUCGAUGGAUUAGUUCGUAAAGCAAGCG